rnacentral:rRNA from 1 species
CCCUUAGAUGUCCUGGGCCGCACGCGCGCUACACUGAUGCAUGCAACGAGUUUAUAACCUUGGCCUGAAAGGUCUGGGUAAUCUUUUGAACGUGCAUCGUGAUAGGGAUAGAUUAUUGCAAUUGUUAAUCUUGAACGAGGAAUUCCUAGUAAACGCGAGUCAUCAGCUCGCAUUGAUUACGUCCCUGCCCUUUGUACACACCGCCCGUCGCAUCUACCGAUUGAAUGGUUCGGUGAAGAUCUCGGACUUCGAUAUUUAUUCUUUAUUGAGUUUAUAUUGUGGGAAGUUAUCUAAACCUCAUCAUUUAGAGGAAGGUGAAGUCGUAACA